UAUGUGUUGUUGGGUAGGGGAGCGUUCUGUAAGCCGUCGAAGGUGGCCUGUGAGGGCUGCUGGAGGUAUCAGAAGUGCGAAUGCUGACAUAAGUAACGAUAAAGCGGGUGAAAAGCCCGCUCGCCGGAAGACCAAGGGUUCCUGUCCAACGUUAAUCGGGGCAGGGUGAGUCGACCCCUAAGGCGAGGCCGAAAGGCGUAGUCGAUGGGAAACAGGUUAAUAUUCCUGUACUUGGUGUUACUGCGAAGGGGGGACGGAGAAGGCUAUGUCGGCCGGGCGACGGUUGUCCCGGUUUAAGCGUGUAGGUGUGUGUUCCAGGUAAAUCCGGUUCACUUUAACACUGAGGCGUGAUGACGAGGCAC
rnacentral:rRNA from 1 species